UACGGGGGGAGCAAGCGUUGUUCGGAUUUACUGGGCGUAAAGGGCGCGUAGGCGGCACCGCAAGUCGACUGUGAAAUCUCCGGGCUUAACUCGGAAAGGUCAGCCGAUACUGCGGGGCUAGAGUGCAGAAGGGGCAACUGGAAUUCUCGGUGUAGCAGUGAAAUGCGUAGAUAUCGAGAGGAACACCUGCGGCGAAGGCGGGUUGCUGGGCCGACACUGACGCUGAGGCGCGAAAGCCAGGGGAGCGAACGGG
rnacentral:rRNA from 1 species